CUGCUGUUUAUUGAUCGAGAAACCAAAAGAGAAUAUUUAGCAACAAGCAGCUAUUGAAUGCAUAACACCACAGGCUCCCCCUGGGCCCGGCAGCUGAGGUCAGCUUGUUGUGCCGUCGGCUUUACAGGGAAGAUGGAGCAGAAGAACUGGAGCUGCUCCAGGGCGGGGACAAGACUGUCACCGGACACGCUCGCCAGAUACUGAGGCAACGUGCGACAGGUCGUUGCUCGUCCCUAGUCAGAGGGAGCUCAAAGUGUCAGAACUUGAGCGUUUCAAAUCACAACCCUGGGGGCUGGCCCUGUGGCCCAGUGGUUAAGUUUGUGCACUCCGAUUUGGCGGUGCGGGAUUUCGCCAGUUCAGAUCCAGGGCGAGGACAUGGCACCACUCGUCAGGCCGUGCUGAGGUGGCCUCCCACAUAGCACAACCAGAAGGACCACAACUACAAUAUACAACUGUGUACUGGUGGGCUUUGGGGAGAAGAAGAAGAAGAAGAAAAAAAAAGAAGAUUGGAAUAGUUGUUAGCUCAGGUGCCAAUCAAAAAAAAAAAGAAUUAAAAAAAGAACAUAAAAUAAAAUCACAACCCUACUUAUAAUGAAAGACUGGUGAGGCCUAAAUGUAUGAAUUAAAAGUAAAAUCGGGGCGGGGGGGCCAGCCUGUGGCAUAGUUGUUAAUAAGUUGUUAUUAAAAAGGUGACCAUAUAAUUUAUUAUCCAAACCAGGACACUUCUGAGAGUGAAAGGGGGUGUUAUUAAUAAUCUCUCCAGGACAACAGGGUAAACCAAGACUGCCAGGGAAACCAAGCUCGCACGCUCUGCUUCGGUGGCCCAGGGUUUACAGGUUUGGAUCUUGGGCACAGACCUAGAUGCUGCUCAUCAAGCCAUGCUGUGGCAGCAUCCCACAUGCAAAAUAGGGGAAGACUGGCACAAAUGUUAGCUCAGGGCCAAUCUUCCUCACCCAAAAAAGAAAAAAAAAAGUAAAAUAGGGAUAUUAUUCACCUCAGAGAAUUGCUUUGAGGAGUCAAUCAAAUAACUUGUGUGUGGGGUGUAGGACAGUCUGGCUCAUUGUAGGCCUCAAAAUGGUGGUUACCUUAUGAGUUUACUUCUAGAGAAUCUGCUGAGGAGACACAAUGAAUGGAGAAGAGUCACUCUGAAGCUUUUUUCUCUGUCGCCAAGGAGGCAAAUCCCUGACACCCCUUCUUAGACCCCAGAGGAUUCUUCCUUAAUGGCCAACAGCUCAAAUCCACUCAGAGGACUAGGUCAAUAUUUAGAUGGAAAAGAUGUCACUCCCUCCUCACCAAAUGUCAACAAAUAGAAGGGCAAAAAUGUUUUUUUUUUUAAAAAAGAAGUUUCCUACAAGAUUUGUGCCUAUUAGUAAAUUUCCAUAGCUAAUGAUUUUUGUCAGUAAAAAAAAAUCUUUGUGAAAUACAUAAUAAAUAUUUCAUUUUUGGCAGUGAUGCAUGUGAGAAAAAUGAUAACAAUCUGUUCUUCACUUGUUGUGUUUCUGGUACAUAAGGGAACAGUUUCACAAACCAGUAAGUAUGCUGGUACAGACGCCAAUUAAGAUCAAUCUUCUCAAACGAAAUUAGGUGAAGCCCGUGGGCUGUUAGCUAAU
ensembl:lncRNA